CUGUGUGGAUGCUAAAAAACAUUUUUGGGAGCACAAGAUGACUUUGAUAAUUGACCGCUUGAGAACAAAGGAAAGUGUUGUAGCUCUAGCUGAUGGAAGGAUGGACUCCCCAGGUUACUCCGCCCAAUAUUGCACCUACACUACCAUGGAGCAUGACUCCAAGGACAUAAUUAGUGUAGUUACAGUUGACAAACGACUAACCAACCUGAACAGUGUGGUCAUGGAAAGGCAUGCCUUUAUACAGACAUUUGACCAGCUUCUUGGAGAACUAAACAUAACAGAGAUUGUCACAGAUGCACAUAUGCAGAUUUCAGCAC